GACGUAGGGCGCGAGCGUUGUCCGGAUUUAUUGGGCGUAAAGAGCUCGUAGGCGGUUUGUCGCGUCUGUCGUGAAAGCCCACGGCUUAACCGUGGGUCUGCGGUGGAUACGGGCAGACUAGAGGCAGGUAGGGGAGAAUGGAAUUCCCGGUGUAGCGGUGAAAUGCGCAGAUAUCUGGAGGAACACCGGUGGCGAAGGCGACGUCCUGGACCGGCAUUGACGCUGAGGCGCGAAAGCCAGGGGAGCAAACGGG
rnacentral:rRNA from 1 species